rnacentral:rRNA from 1 species
GUGGGGAAUCUUCCGCAAUGGACGAAAGUCUGACGGAGCAACGCCGCGUGAGUGAAGAAGGUUUUCGGAUCGUAAAGCUCUUUCGUUAGGGACGAACGUGCUCUUUGUGAAUAAUGAGGAGUAAUGACGGUACCUAAAUAAGAAGCCACGGCUAACUACGUGCCAGCAGCCGCGGUAAUACGUAGGUGGCAAGCGUUGUCCGGAAUUAUUGGGCGUAAAGCGCGCGCAGGCGGGAUAUCAAGUCUGUCUUAAAAGUGCGAGGCUCAACCUCGUGAGGGGACAGAAACUGGUAUUCUUGAGUGUCGGAGAGGAAAGUGGAAUUCCAAGUGUAGCGGUGAAAUGCGUAGAGAUUUGGAAGAACACCAGUGGCGAAGGCGACUUUCUGGACGAUGUCUGACGCUGAGGCGCGAAAGCUAGUGGAGCGAACGGGAUUAGAUACCCCAGUAGUCC